rnacentral:rRNA from 1 species
GACGAACGCUGGCGGCGUGCUUAACACAUGCAAGUCGAACGGAAAGGCCCUGCUUUUUUGGGGUUCUCGAGUGGCGAACGGGUGCGUAACAGGUAAGUAACCUGCCCUUGUUUUUGGGAUAACUUCAGGAAACUGGGGCUACUACCGGACCGGAGCUCCUCCUGCAUUGUGGGGGUUGGAACGUUUCGGCGGGCGGGGAUAGACGGGCGGCUUAUCGGCUAGUUGGUUGGGGAGUGGCUUGCCAACGGUUUGACGGGUCGCCGGCAUGGGAGGGUGACCGGGGACAUGAGGACUAAGGUACGGAGCAGACUGGUAUGGGAGACAGCAGGGGGGAACAUGACACAAUGGGCGCACGCCUGAGGAAGCAACGCCGCGUGUGGGAAGACGGCCUGUGGGGUGUAAAACGCAUUCGCCUGUGACGAAGCUGGUGUGACGGUAAUGGGUGAAGAAGCACCGGCUAACUACGUG